AACGAACGCUGGCGGCAGGCCUAACACAUGCAAGUCGAACGGAACUUCGGUUCAGUGGCGGACGGGUGAGUAACGCGUGGGAACCUAUCUUUCGGUACGGAAUAACGCAUGGAAACGUGUGCUAAUACCGUAUACGCCCUAAGGGGGAAAGUUUUUCGCCGAGAGGAGGGCCCGCGUUGGAUUAGGUAGUUGGUGGGGUAAUGGCCCACCAAGCCGACGAUCUAUAGCUGGUUUGAGAGGAUGAUCAGCCACACUGGGACUGAGACACGGCCCAGACUCCUACGGGAGGCAGCAGUGAGGAAUCUUAGACAAUGGGGGAAACCCUGAUCUAGCCAUGCCGCGUGAGUGAUGAAGGCCCUAGGGUUGUAAAGCUCUUUCACCGGUGAAGAUAAUGACGGUAGCCGGAGAAGAAGCCCCGGCUAACUCCG
rnacentral:rRNA from 1 species